GAUGAACGCUGGCGGCGUGCCUAAUACAUGCAAGUCGAGCGAACGGACGAGAAGCUUGCUUCUCUGAUGUUAGCGGCGGACGGGUGAGUAACACGUGGAUAACCUACUUAUAAGACUGGGAUAACUUCGGGAAACCGGAGCUAAUACCGGAUAAUAUUAUGAACCGCAUGGUUCAAAAGUGAAAGACGGUCUUGCUGUCACUUAUAGAUGGAUCCGCGCUGCAUUAGCUAGUUGGUAAGGUAACGGCUUACCAAGGCAACGAUGCAUAGCCGACCUGAGAGGGUGAUCGGCCACACUGGAACUGAGACACGGUCCAGACUCCUACGGGAGGCAGCAGUAGGGAAUCUUCCGCAAUGGGCGAAAGCCUGACGGAGCAACGCCGCGUGAGUGAUGAAGGUCUUCGGAUCGUAAAACUCUGUUAUUAGGGAAGAACAUAUGUGUAAGUAACUGUGCACAUCUUGACGGUACCUAAUCAGAAAGCCACGGCUAACUACGUG
rnacentral:rRNA from 1 species